rnacentral:rRNA from 1 species
GUUGAACGCUGGCGGCAGGCUUAACACAUGCAAGUCGAACGAGCGGCGGACGGGUGAGUAAUGGCUGGGCAACUGCCUGAUCGAGGGGGAUAACUACUGGAAACGGUAGCUAAUGCCGCAUACCAUCAGAUGUGCCCAGAUGGGAUUAGCGAGUAGGUGGGGUAAUGGCUCACCGAGGCGACGAUCCCUAGCGGGUCUGAGAGGAGGAACAGCCACACUGGAACUGAGACACGGUCCAGACUCCUACGGGAGGCAGCAGUGGGGAAUAUUCGACAAUGGGCGAAAGCCGGAUGGAGCAAUGCCGCGGGUGUGAAGAAGGCCUUCGGGUUGUAAAGCACUGUCAGCGGGGAGGCGUUACUCGAAGAGGAAGCAACGGCUAACUCCGUGCCAGCAGCCGCGGUAAUUC